AUUCCCAUUCGGACUCCCUGACUUUGUGUUUAAAUAGGAGGAAAUCAAAGCUAAAUUAAAGUAUCUCCCAAAAUUGUAGAGAUUUCUUCAGAUAUCUCCAUUAACGAAGGGAACAAUAUCAGCCUCACCUGCAUAGCAACUGGUAGACCAGAGCCUACGGUUACUUGGAGACACAUCUCCCCCAAAGCGGUUGGCUUUGUGAGUGAAGACGAAUACUUGGAAAUUCAGGGCAUCACCCGGGAGCAGUCAGGGGACUACGAGUGCAGUGCCUCCAAUGACGUGGCCGCGCCCGUGGUACGGAGAGUAAAGGUCACCGUGAACUAUCCACCAUACAUUUCAGAAGCCAAGGGUACAGGUGUCCCCGUGGGACAAAAGGGGACACUGCAGUGUGAAGCCUCAGCAGUCCCCUCAGCAGAAUUCCAGUGGUACAAGGAUGACAAAAGGAAGAGGAACGGAAUGCUAUACCUACGGAAGGCCACCCAUCCAACAGGGGCAUUGACCAAUGAAAAGCCCACAGCUUUGGUAAGAAACUGAGGCCUGGAAGCAGUGCGGGAUGGAGGGGAU
rnacentral:sRNA from 1 species